GUAUUCCACAGGAACAGUGUCAUACAGCCCCCCGGAAUGGACCCACUUGGGCUGGUACUACGGAGAGGCAGCAACGAUCUGGUCCCUGGGCAUCCUGCUGCACCAGAUGGUCUGCGGGCAGCACCCUUUCAGGAGGGGCCGGAAGAUCAGCUGGGACCAUCAGCUCUCGCUGCCACAGCGGCUCUCUCCAGAGUGCCAAGAUCUUAUCAGGGGGUGUUUAUCCAUGCACUUCUUGGACAGACCUUCCUUAGAAGACCUGUUCUGUGAACCUUGGAUACAGGAUAUUCACCUGCCGUAGAAGAAGGGAGAGAGCCACAUGCACACUUUGCUGCAGGGCCCUGCUGGGGCCCUGGGCAGAACCCUGACAGCCUGGUCUGACCCCCAGGGAAGGAGAAGGAGCCCCUGGAGAAGCUGUACCAGGUGGGGCUGCUGCUGCUGCUGGAGACAGUGAGGAUGACAUCAAGGAUGACAAACUCUUCCUCAA